GACGAACGCUGGCGGCGUGCCUAAUACAUGCAAGUUGAGCGCUGAAGGUUGGUACUUGUACCAACUGGAUGAGCAGCGAACGGGUGAGUAACGCGUGGGGAAUCUGCCUUUGAGCGGGGGACAACAUUUGGAAACGAAUGCUAAUACCGCAUAAAAACUUUAAACACAAGUUUUAAGUUUGAAAGAUGCAAUUGCAUCACUCAAAGAUGAUCCCGCGCUGCAUUAGCUAGUUGGUAAGGUAACGGCUUACCAAGGCAACGAUGCAUAGCCGACCUGAGAGGGUGAUCGGCCACACUGGAACUGAGACACGGUCCAGACUCCUACGGGAGGCAGCAGUAGGGAAUCUUCCGCAAUGGGCGAAAGCCUGACGGAGCAACGCCGCGUGAGUGAUGAAGGUCUUCGGAUCGUAAAACUCUGUUAUUAGGGAAGAACAUAUGUGUAAGUAACUGUGCACAUCUUGACGGUACCUAAUCAGAAAGCCACGGCUAACUACGUG
rnacentral:rRNA from 1 species